rnacentral:rRNA from 1 species
GGGAAUUUUUCGCAAUGGGGGAAAACCUGACGGAGCAAGACCGCGUGGGGGAGGAAAGCCUUUGGGUUGUAAACCCCUUUUUUCAGGGAAGAAGAAAGUGACGGUACCUGAGGAAUCAGCCUCGGCUAACUCCGUGCCAGCAGCCGCGGUAAUACGGAGGAGGCAAGCGUUAUCCGGAAUUAUUGGGCGUAAAGCGUCCGCAGGUGGCUCAUCAAGUCUGCUGUUAAAUCCCGGGGCUUAACUCCGGAGGGGCAGUGGAAACUGAUGAGCUAGAGUGCGGUAGGGGCAGAGGGAAUUCCCGGUGUAGCGGUGAAAUGCGUAGAGAUCGGGAAGAACACCGGUGGCGAAAGCGCUCUGCUGGGCCGCAACUGAC